rnacentral:rRNA from 1 species
CUGGCUCAGGAUGAACGCAGCGACAGGCUUAACACAUGCAAGCGAGGGGCAGCAUAAAGUAGCAAUACUUGGUGGCGACCGGCGCACGGGUGAGUAACGCGUAUGCAACCUACCUAUCAGAGGGGAAUAACCCGGCGAAAGUCGGACUAAUACCGCAUAAAACAGGGACACCGCAUGGUGAUAUUGUUAAGAAAUUCGCUGAUAGAUGGGCAUGCGUUCCAUUAGGUAGUUGGUGAGGUAACGGCUCACCAAGCCGACGAUGGAUAGGGGAACUGAGAGGUUGGUCCCCACACUGGUACUGAGACACGGACCAGACUCCUACGGGAGGCAGCAGUGAGGAAUAUUGGUCAAUGGGCGAGAGCCUGAACCAGCCAAGUCGCGUGAAGGAAAAGAAGGAUCUAUGGUUCGUAAACUUCUUUUGCAGGGGAAUAAAGUGCAGGACGUGUCCUGUUUUGUAUGUACCCUGAGAAUAAGGAUCGGCUAACUCCGUGCCAGCAGCUGC